GAUGAAGAACGCAGUGAAAUGCGAUACUUGGUGUGAAUUGCAGAAUCCCGCGAAUCAUCGAGUUUUUGAACGCAAGUUGCGCCCGAAGCCAUUCGGCCGAGGGCACGUCUGCCUGGGUGUCACGCAUCGUUGCCCCCCCAAACUCCGGUUCGGGCGGGGCGGAAGUUGGCCUCCCGUGCGUGCCUGCGCGCGCGGUUAGCCCAAAAGCGAGUCCUCGGCGACGAGCGCCACGACAAUCGGUGGUUUUUUUACCCUCGUUCCUCGUCGUGCGUGCCCCGUCGCCCGAACGCGCUCUUGCGACCCUUACGCGUCGCCUCGGCGGCGCUCCCAACGCGACCCCAGGUCAGGCGGGACUACCCGCUGAGUUUAAGCAUAUCAAUAAGCGGAGGA
rnacentral:misc_RNA from 1 species